UUUUCUCUGCGAUUUUAGUGGCAUACCUUCUCAGAUGCCUUACGUUUUUUUUCCCGCUCCUUUACUUUUUUAUUUGCAUUUGUUUCUUCUUUAAAUUUCCAAAUAGAUGAUUGUCUCAUUAUUGAUUGUUGUUAUUUCAUUUUCCCUUUUAUCUGGAUAUGUUGUUAUUUCUAAAUACUUUCUCAAUUUUACCGUGCAAUUUCGUUAAGAGACGGGAUGCUAGUUAGCUACUGGAUUUAAACUUCAUGGGUGUCGUGCAAAUUUCCUGUUACUGCAACAUUUUUUUUUAUUAACUGUGGCGUUCAGUUCAGCUUGCCUGAUUCCACAGGAUACAUGUUAACUCCCACCAGCAACACCUAGCAGGUAACUUGAUAACAUACCACACCCUUGGGUGCUGUUACUGCAACAUCUAUUUAUCAAAUUUUUAGUACAUGAUGGUAAAAAAUUUUGCACUGUGAGAUUUUAAAGGGUUCCUUUUUCUACUUUAAUUCAUGAGAAGGAAAAAGUGCAGUGAUGUUCAUAUUAGGAUAAAAUGAUCCAAUAUGUGUCACUAUGCUAUGUCACUUUGAUGAGAAAGCAUGAAGAAGAACUGAAACAUAAUUGAGGGUCGAACUUAAGUUGUUAUCUUUUUCUGAAAAAAGGAUUGGCAUAGCAGUAGUUACUAGUUAGAAAAGCACUUAUUAGGUAAAACGGAUUCUGCGACUCACUUUCAACUUUUAUUAGCUCAGUAAAGUGUGUGUGUUUCUAUCUCCUAGUAGGUGGAUGUGAUCGACAAUGAUGAAGCUCAGUUCUUUGAGGACCUUAAUGAUUUCUGCUGCAAUGCUGCUGAUUUGAUGGAAAGACUGUAACUGUUGCAGGGUUAGAUGGUGAUUUCUUGAGGUUCACUCUUAUGGUUUCUAUGGACUAGGGGUUCUGAAUACAUAAUUUCAGGACAAUUCUUUCCUUAAGCAGUCCUGAUGAGUAAAGUUGGUUUUGUUUGUCAUAUCAACAAUGAACUUCAUAUCCAUUUUGCGGAAACAGAGGAUCACCAGUGCAAUUCAUCAAACAGUUGUUAUAUCUUUGUCCAAACGAAGUAUUCAUUCAUGUCACAUUUUUUGUUCAAAAAUAUCGGAUGCAAAUGUUACUUCAGAGAAUUCAGAAUCAAAAACGGAAGAAAGGUUGGUAGAUCAGGGAAUGGUGGCAACAAGGAACAACUUAAGUCAAAGAAUUGAAAGCGUACCCAUAGGAGAGUGCAUUGGAUCCACUUUCCAAAGCUGGAUGGGUGAUGGUCUACCUAUUCAUAGAGGUGACAUUUUCCACACUAUCAAUCGUUUGCGCAAACUCAAAUUCAACAAGCGUGCUCUUGAGGUGAUGGAAUGGGUUAUAAGGGAGAGACCAUAUAGACCAAAGGAACUAGAUUACUCAUAUUUAGUAGAAUUCACUUCUAAGCUUCAUGGGAUAUCACAAGCUGAAAGCCUAUUCUCACGAAUUCCGUCUGAGUUCCAAAAUGAGUUGCUCUACAACAAUCUUAUACUCGGAUGCUUGAACAGAGGACUGAUAAGGCUUUCACUAGCAUAUAUGAAGAAAAUGAGAGAACUGGGACAUCCCAUAUCUUAUUUGGUGUUCAAUCAUCUCAUCAUUCUCCAUUCCUCCCCAAGCCGCAAGAAGUUCAUACCUAAAAUCUUGACGCAGAUGAAAGCCGAUAAGGUUAGUCCACAUGUUUCAACCUUCAAUAUUCUGCUCAAGAUAGAAGCAAAUCAACACAAUAUUGAAGGCCUAUUGAAAGUGUUUGGUGAUAUGAAGAGAGCAAAAGUUGAACCGAAUGAGGUAUCUUACUGCAUAUUGGCCACUGCACAUGCUGUGGCUAGAUUGUUUACAGUUUGUGAGACCUAUAUUGAAGCUAUUGAGAAGUCUGCAACUGGACAAAACUGGUCUACAUUUGACAUUCUGGUCAUACUCUAUGGAUAUCUGGGAAAGCGGAAUGAUUUAGAGAGGACAUGGGGUGUCAUUCUGGAGCUUUCCCAUGUUAGGUCUAAGAGUUAUGUCCUGGUGAUCGAAGCAUAUGGUAGGAUCGGAGAUCUCUGUCGAGCUGAAGAGCUGUGGUCUGCAAUGAAAUCAAGGAAUUCCUUGAAGUCAAAUGAGCAGUUCAAUUCGCUGAUAGCUGUAUAUUGUAGACAUGGACUUAUCACCAAAGCCACUGCAUUGUAUAAGGAGAUGGAGAAAAGUGGGUGUAAGCCAAAUGCCAUUACUUAUCGGCAUCUUGCUCUUGGUUGCUUGAGAGCGGGGUUAAUUAAGGAGGCCAUCAAAACUCUUCAAUUGGGAAUGGAUAUGGAAACAAGCAUAAAGGUGAAAAGAUCAACUCCAUGGUUGGAAACUACUCUUUCAAUAAUUGAAAUAUUUGCAGAUAAUGGUGAUGUAGAGAAUGCUGAAAAGUUGUUUGAAGAACUGAAGAAAGCGAAUUAUACUAGGUAUACCUUUGUGUACAAUGCGUUAAUUAAGGCGUAUGUUAAGGGGAAGGUAUAUGAUCCAAAUCUUCUUAAAAGAAUGAUUCUUGGAAGGGCUAGGCCAGAUUCUGAGACCUAUAGCCUUUUGAAAGUUAUUGACCAAUUUCGAACGUGAUUAUAUUAUAAUUAUUUUGUAUGCUUUUACACUCCUGCUUCAAAUUACUCAGCUAAGAGUAGCCCUAUUCUGCGGCUCUGCCAAUUGCUGAAGAUAGCUAUACUUCAGUGUGCCCGUUCUGUUCGAGUCUUGGAGAUAUGAUGGCAGUUUGGCCAAUAAAACGGGGAAAAGAAGAGAGCAGAAAGAGGAAUUGAUGAAGAUUGCAGCUAAAUGAAUGAGGCUGAGGAUGGGGAGUUGUGAGAAGAUACUAAGCACCAAAGACAAAUUGCUUGACGAAAAAACCAGUUGUUUUAGAAACUACUAUCCGAGCUUUUCAAGACUCACUUGUGGUAUUACACUGAGUAUAUCAUUGUUGUAUUACCCGAGCUUCCUCUUAUACCGCAUCCUCUUACGUUGGGAUGAAUUUCACUUUUCUAAUGAAGACUAUUUUGUCACAUGUAUUUUACAAGGUUAAUUAUGACUGCAUGUCCUUUUUCAUCUUGAUGAUGAAUAUUUCUCACCUUUCAACAACCAUCCAAGAGAUGAUCCGUGACUACUCUUGUGAAUAUUUCUCACCUUUCAACAACCACACAUUGUUCAUAUU